GUGCUCCCUCCGGCAGCAUACAUACUAAAAUUGGAAUGGUACAGAGAUUAGCAUGGACCCUGUGCAAGCAUGACAUGCAAAUUUGUGAAGCAUUCCAUAUAUUU